rnacentral:lncRNA from 1 species
AUAAAAUUAAAAAAAAGAAAAAGUAAGAGUGGAGUUUGUCUUUUUUAAUAGUUGUUGCUUGAAAGAGUUUCAAUAAUUUCAAGGCUAUAAUCAGAGUAUGGUCAGAUCACUUUGGCAGGGAUUUUAAAAUCAACCUAAGAUAACGGACAACUGAAAUGUUAAGUUUUAAAUAUUACUAUUGUUCUUCAAAUAGAUGUUUCUUAUUUUCUUUGAGGUAGUUCUGUUUAUGAUUCUAGAUGUCAUGAAGUGUUUGCUCUGAUUUGUCCGUCCUUCUACUGCCUUUUGGAUUGUGGUGGGAAUGGAUAGGGAACUUUCUGUGUUUAUGAAAACAUAUAAAUCUAUGUUCAAGUUUACCUGAAGAGCAUUAUUCUUAAAAACCAGUAUGUUUCUCUCUCUGAUGAGUAGCCAGAUAUACCAUAUAUUUUAAUAAUAUAGAAUUGAUACUAGGUAUAUAUUGAAUACUAUUAUACCUCUUAUUAUCUAUGUGUUUCUUUAUGAAGGUUGCUUUAAGCCAAGUCCAGUUUCUGUUUAAUUUUAAAAGUUUCACAAGCUAAGAGAUCCAUUAGGUGGUGAAGAAUCUCUGAAAGUGUUCAAUGUAGAAAUUGAACACUGAAUGCUACUUUUAUAAUAUUAUUCUAUAGAUAUAUGGCAGCAAUAUUCAUGAUAUUCAAUAGUCAGAUGGGAUGAUCAGUAAUUUAUAAGUUACAUAUUUAUAAUAUAGAUUUUUAAAAUAAAAUUUCUAUAUAAAAUAAGGUAAUACACACCCUACUUGACUUGCCUAAAAAUUUAGGAAAAUAUUUAUUUGCUUUACAGUAUGUGUUUUACAAUACGCCUGAUCAAACAAUUUUUUUAUAAUCCAAGUGAACAGUUCUUUCAACCUAGAAUUUAAUAAGUACCGUCUAGAAACAAAUACUUAUUUGUAAUUAAUUACACCUCCACUCCGUUGUCUGUAAGCAUUAUAUAAGUCAGAUGUGAAUAUAUAGACCCUUGUAUAAUUACAUAUGUGCAUGUUAGCACACAUACACUUCUCAGUGUAACCCUGCGGUGCUUCAGAACAACUGUACUGGGGAAGCAGUCGUGCGAUUCCUUUUUGUAGGAAUAAAAUAGUAUUUACUAGGUUUACCUUGUGUAGUACAAAUAGGCAAAAUUUUCAACAGUGUGAUAUUGUUACAUGGACAUUAAAUAUUUCUAAAAUAGUUCAUAAUAGUUUAAUAUUUUUGAACAAAUUAAAUAUUAUAAAGUGGACAAAUACUGAAGUGAAAAAAUAACCUAAUUUUUAAAAAUUGUCCACAAUUCACUUCCUUCACAGUUAGUUCUUUCAUGCAGUUCAUGUAAUGUAGUUCUGUAUUAGACAUCAUAAGUGAAUGUGAUUUUAUUACCUUUUUCUUUAACUGAAGGUACUGAGAGACUCUUGCAAAAUUCCCACUUUGAAUACGAAAUAUUUAUGAUAUAGAUUUCAGUGUUUGAAAAUUUAAACCACUGGACUUAGAUUACAUAUCUAAUUCAUUGAAUCUCUUUGUAUCAGCUGUUGUUUACAUGUUAGUUUAUAGCAUAUGUUCCAAAUAACAUCACUGUUGGCUUUACAUCAUUUUAGACACACACAUAUAUAAAUUGCCAUUUACAUCUCAAGCAGUAGAGUAUGUGUUUAAAAUCCUAUUAUUAUCGUUUUAUAAAAAUAGUAACAACCAUUAUGAACAUUAGAAAUUGUAAUGUUUUUCUUAAUUAUUUUAGUCUUAGUUUUUUUUUCUGAUCCUUGCUCUCUUCUGUGAAUAAAUGUGUGUUUGUUUACCACUUCUAUAUUUACACUGCUGUCAAGUGUUAAAAGGGUACUGAAUAUCUUGUUUCUGAGAUUGCCUCAGAAUACAUUACGGUGUGCUAAAUACUCCAGCAACUGUCCAUAAGCGAUAAUGUGAUUUCACUGUCUCAUGUCAUGAAAAAAGAGAGUAAUGAUUUUGCUGGCUCAGUCAUAUGGAAUUAGAGAGUGUACUAUUUGGAAGAUUUCCCUGGUGUCCCAUUUAGGUCAUGGGAUGUUGCUGAGCCCUGACCACUGCUUCUUUACCCCGGUAUUCUAGGCCAAGAGUAUUCCUGUACAAACAUACUGUAUCAUCAAGCCACGCAGAGACCACCAGUACUUUCUGAACUGAACAUAACAAUGUUUUCCUUGUCAGUGCUGGAGGUGUUGCUAUCCAACUUUGCUUUUUCAGUACUUCAUUUUAACAACUUCCCUAAAUGAAAACUCACUUCCUGGAUGACCUUACCCCUACCCAUCCUGUAAUGUUUCCUAUUUUGUUGGGUGUUAUCAGCUACUUAUAUGAACACCAAGUUCUCCUUGCCUUAACUCCAGAAAAAUUUCAUCACCAUUCAAUAAAAUUGCCGAUUUGCUACUUUAAGGUACUUGGUUGAAACGAAUGAUGAGCAAGAAGGUGGAUGUUUCACUGUGUUCAACUGAUUCCUUUUUGCUUUUAGUUAUGAAUCUAUGCAGAAAAAGAGGAGAAAAAUAGAUAUUAUGUCAGGGAAAUGAGUCUCACUUGUGUUUUAAGAAUGCAUUCAUUCAUUCAGACUUCUAUUUUUUUUCCAACUAAUCAGGACAACUUGACACACUGGCUGCUAUGUAGGCUGAUAUUAGAAAUGAGUGACUCAGAUUUUGAAAACCAUGAAAACUAAGCUGACGCAUUACCAAGUAUGCAACUCUAGUUAUCAUACAUCACAGUGGUUGCCACGCUAAAGAAACCAGUUCUACAAAUCAUUAUUCAGUCACUUGUAUCCUGAAGCAUCUGAUGAUGUAUAUUAGCAAAAGUUGACUGGACUGCUAUACCAUAAUAUAAAAUAGCCCAUGGGUCACAUGUUUCAUAAUUUUAACUAAUAAUGAAUAAAGUAGGUAUUUGUUCAAAAAGUCUCAUAAUGGGUUUCUUUAAGUAUUGUAAUAGCAUCAGAUCAUUAGCAUUCCUUUUUUUUCCAUAAAAAAUUUAAGAUAGAGGAGAUUUUACUGGAUUAUUCAGCAGAACUUUUACUUUUAUGUAAAUACAUAUAAUUUUAAACAUCCACCAUUUUGGAAUAAUUUUUACUACAUUAUCUUUAUUAAGACUAUCUUGAAAGUUUUAAUUUCAAAAGUAUUGAAACAUUUGCACUGACACCUAUAAUUUAUAACUGCUGGCUUUUCAAACAACUUACACUGGAAUCUAAGUGGCUGAUUGCAACACCCCCCCCCCAGUGUGUAUGUGGGGUGUACACAAACUGUGUAUAGGCAUCGAUAUGUGUGUUUAAGAGGGACAUUCAUAAGUGGGUACAUGAAUUAUGGAAGACAUAGGUCUGUAUUUUCCUCAGUUAUUUUCACCUUUUUUUAAAAAAUGAUUUUAUGUUAUUUUUUAAAUGUGUUAGUGUCUGCAUGUACCAACAAGAGCUUUCAGACCCAAAGAUGGCAUCACCUUCCCUCAAGCUGAUGCAACGGGUAGAUGUAAACCACGUAACAUGGAUGCUAGGACCCAAACUCAAGACUUCUGACACUUCAGUGAGCUCCUUUAACCACUGGAUGAUCUUUCUAGCCUUCUACCUGCUUUCUUGAAACAGGGUUUCUCACUGAACUUGGAGCUAAUUGGUUCUGCUCAACUGGUUGGUUAGGAAGCUUCAAGGAUUAUCAAGUCACUAUUUCUCUGAGAUUGAAAUUUUAGCUAUGCACCACCGUGCUGCCUUUCCCCAUGUGGUCUGGAGGUGAACUCAAGGCAUUACACUACAGGUUUACCCUGCCCUUGAAAGACUCCUGUUGAUAAAAAUUCAUGCAUUCUCUCCAUAUAUACAAACACCAUGUUAACAGUUUUGGAGGAAAAUUAAUUUUUUAUUUAUUCAUCAUUGAUAUUUUUCUACUGCCUCAAAGUAAAUAUUGAACAAAUGACAAAAAGACCAUAUUUCUUUGACAAGCAUAGUUUCCAAAGAUCGCUUAUGACUGUAAUAAUGAAUCAUGAAUGAAAUAAAUACUUCUAAUUCUCAAAUAGUGCAUUAAUCAGGCAAAUGUUUCAGACGUAAAUAAUGGAAAAAUAAAUCAUGGUAGCCAAACAAUUUAAAAACGUCUGAUACAUUCUAGAAUAAUAUUAUAAACAGAGACUAUUGUAUAUUUUGGAGUGGUGUAAGUGCUAUUUGGAUUGCUAAUAGAGAAACAAUAAACCUUUCUGGUGAAAAUUGUUAUUGUAAUUUAUAGAAAAUAUAGGUAAUUUUCAACUUCAUUAUAUUCACACAUAUCUUAAUUUUCAAAAUAACUUUGGUCUCUUUCCUCAUUACAAAAAUUAUGGCUGUUUCCAACUCUAGAUUAUUCUGUGCCUUCAUUGCUUUUCCUUCUCCUACUACCUGCUUGCAUAGUUAUUUAUGAAGCUCUAAAGUAUAGGAGGCAACAUUAUAGCUAACUCAAAGCUUUUUAUAAAUUGUUCAAAAUCGUCUCUCAUUUAUGCUUUGAACAGAAAGUUAGUCUGAAGCAGAAAGUAUUUUUUCCUCUAUUUUACUUUCAAAAUGUCACAGUCAAACCAUAGUGCAUAAUUAUACAGCUAGGCAAUCUACGUUCCCUGUAUCAGUAUGAUGAGGAAAACGAAUAUACUACUGUAAGUUACUUCCUUAAAUACUAAAUAAACAAACACACUUUACGAAUUAUGUGUGUUAUAUUUUUUUAUACACCUGCUGGUUUCCUUCUCUUUUAAAACCAUAGAAAAGUUAGAUUCCUAAAUCCAGGCAAGAUCUUUAAUCAGUGACAGUAUAAUGAAAGUAACCUUUAUUUGUACAUAACAAGAAGCAUGGAACCUUCGAGAUAGAGAUGAGUUAGUUAGAUUUCAGUCACAAUGACAGUUACCC